ACACUCCUGCGGGAGGCAGCAGUGGGGAAUUUUGGACAAUGGGCGAAAGCCUGAUCCAGCAAUGCCGCGUGAGUGAAGAAGGCCUUCGGGUUGUAAAGCUCUUUUGUCAGGGAAGAAACGGUGAAAGCUAAUAUCUUUUGCUAAUGACGGUACCUGAAGAAUAAGCACCGGCUAACCACGUGCCAGCAGCCGCGGUAAUACGUAGGGUGCAAGCGUUAAUCGGAAUUACUGGGCGUAAAGCGUGCGCAGGCGGUUUUGUAAGUCUGAUGUGAAAUCCCCGGGCUCAACCUGGGAAUUGCAUUGGAGACUGCAAGGCUAGAAUCUGGCAGAGGGGGGUAGAAUUCCACGUGUAGCAGUGAAAUGCGUAGAUAUGUGGAGGAACACCGAUGGCGAAGGCAGCCCCCUGGGUCAAGAUUGACGCGCAUGCACGAAAGCGUGGGGAGCAAACAGGAUUAGAAACCCGAGUAGUCCCA
rnacentral:rRNA from 1 species